rnacentral:rRNA from 1 species
UGAGGAAUUUUGGGCAAUGGGCGCAAGCCUGACCCAGCAACGCCGCGUGAGGGAAGAAGGCUUUCGGGUUGUAAACCUCUGUCCUUGGGGACGAAAAAAAUGACGGUACCCAAGGAGGAAGCUCCGGCUAACUACGUGCCAGCAGCCGCGGUAAUACGUAGGGAGCAAGCGUUGUCCGGAAUUAUUGGGCGUAAAGGGUGCGUAGGCGGCGCUGCAAGUCAGAUGUGAAAUCCCCGGGCUUAACUCGGGGGGUGCAUUUGAAACUGCAGUGCUUGAGUGCAGGAGAGGAAAGCGGAAUUCCUAGUGUAGCGGUGAAAUGCGUAGAUAUUAGGAAGAACACCAGUGGCGAAGGCGGCUUUCUGGACUGUAACUGACGCUGAGGCACGAAAGCGUGGGGAGCAAACA